UAGUACAUGCAAGUCGAGCGAAUCGAUGGGAGCUUGCUCCCUGAGAUUAGCGGCGGACGGGUGAGUAACACGUGGGCAACCUGCCUAUAAGACUGGGAUAACUUCGGGAAACCGGAGCUAAUACCGGAUACGUUCUUUUCUCGCAUGAGAGAAGAUGGAAAGACGGUUUACGCUGUCACUUAUAGAUGGGCCCGCGGCGCAUUAGCUAGUUGGUGAGGUAAUGGCUCACCAAGGCGACGAUGCGUAGCCGACCUGAGAGGGUGAUCGGCCACACUGGGACUGAGACACGGCCCAGACUCCUACGGGAGGCAGCAGUAGGGAAUCUUCCGCAAUGGACGAAAGUCUGACGGAGCAACGCCGCGUGAACGAAGAAGGCCUUCGGGUCGUAAAGUUCUGUUGUUAGGGAAGAACAAGUACCAGAGUAACUGCUGGUACCUUGACGGUACCUAACCAGAAAGCCACGGCUAACUACGUGCCAGCAGCCGCGGUAAUACGUAGGUGGCAAGCGUUGUCCGGAAUUAUUGGGCGUAAAGCGCGCGCAGGUGGUUCCUUAAGUCUGAUGUGAAAGCCCACGGCUCAACCGUGGAGGGUCAUUGGAAACUGGGGAACUUGAGUGCAAGAAGAAAGUGGAAUUCCAAGUGUACGGUGAAAUGCUAAAGGAAUU
rnacentral:rRNA from 1 species